rnacentral:rRNA from 1 species
GUAGCGAACGGGUGAGUAACGCGUGGGUAACCUACCUCUUAGCGGGGACAACUAUUGGAAACGAUAGCUAAUACCGCAUAACAAUAUUAAACACAUGUUUAACAUUUGAAAGUACCAAUUGGUACACUAGGAGAUGGACUGCGUUGUAUUAGCUAGUUGGUAGUGUAAUGGACUACCAAGGCGAUGAUACAUAGCCGACCUGAGAGGGUGAUCGGCCACAUUGGGACUGAGACACGGCCCAAACUCCUACGGGAGGCAGCAGUAGGGAAUCUUCGGCAAUGGACGAAAGUCUGACCGAGCAACGCCGCGUGAGUGAAGAAGGUUUUCGGAUCGUAAAACUCUGUUGUUAGAGAAGAACGUUGUGUAGAGUGGAAAAUUACACAAGUGACGGUAUCUAACCAGAAAGGGACGGCUAACUACGUGCCAGCAGCCGCGGUAAUACGUAGGUCCCGAGCGUUGUCCGGAUUUAUUGGGCGUAAAGCGAGCGCAGGUGGUUUAAUAAGUCUGAUGUAAAAGGCAGUGGCUCGACCAUUGUGUGCAUUGGAAACUGUUAGACUUGAGUGCAGUAGAGGAGAGUGGAAUUCCAUGUGUAGCGGUGAAAUGCGUAGAUAUAUGGGGGAACACCGGUGGCGAAAGCGGCUCUCUGGACUGUAACUGACACUGAGGCUCGAAAGCGUGGGUAGCAAACAGGAUUAGAUACCCUGGUAGUCCACGCCGUAAACGAUGAGUGCUAAGUGUUGGAGGGUUUCCGCCCUUCAGUGCUGCAGUUAACGCAUUAAGCACUCCGCCUGGGGAGUACGACCGCAAGGUUGAAACUCAAAGGAAUUGACGG